GGAUGUAUGAGGGGUGAUCUGCCUGUGACAUCUGUCACCAGGGUUAAGUGGCUGAUCUGACUGGCUAGGAGGCUAUCCCCUUUCUACCUCACCACGCCAUGUGCUUCCUCGAAGCAGCUAUAUGCUGGGUGAAAGAGAAAAACCUUCCCCUAAUAGAAAAUAAGUCUUGGGUCAAGAGUUUAAGAGUAACAGCGCUUACCUGCUAGAACCUCAAAGUAAACCCUCAAAACUUAAUUUAAUAUUAAUCUGAGGACAGAUUCCAAGAAAUGCCAGUAAAAGUUACAGGUUUUUCCCUGUACACUUUGGCCU
ensembl:misc_RNA predicted gene, 23211